rnacentral:piRNA from 1 species
UCCUGCUUCACCAGAGCUUUCACAGUGAC